UUUGCCGCAGCAUAGAUCCAUACAAGAUUCCAAGACAAAAAUAUAUUGAAAAUUUACAGUAUUUGACAACAGUGAUACCUUAUCACGUGGACAGUGGCCCACCUGAUGAUCAAGCUUUACAAGUCCUCAUUAAGAUAUUGAAGGCUAUUAAUGAGGACAGUCCAACGGUGCCCACAUUAUUAACGGACUACAUAUUGAAAGAAGGGUUGAUUUCUUUCACCUUGUCUUGAAUCCGUGCGAGAUAAACACUUGUAUAUUUCACGGUCCCGUUAUUAUCAUGAGGUUGAAGUUCGUAAUGUUAUUCAGGCUAUGAAUCUUUAGAAAAACUUGGAAUACAACUUCAGGAUUGUCUGAAAAUAAGUAAACCGUAAUAAACCAAAUUAUAAUCAUAUCAAGUUAUCAGUAAUAAGCAAU
rnacentral:misc_RNA from 1 species